GGUGAGUAGCUCAAGCUGGGAGGGCCUUGCUGAAGAUCAAAUGAACACAACAGUGACCCUGAAAUUCUGAGUCUGACAGAAAAUUAACCACCCAUGCUUCUCCCUCCAUCUCCUUGACGACAAUUUCCAAAGGAACCUUAGACGCUGUGAAGCAUUUGCCAGGCAGAGAAGGAAGAAAAGACAAGUAGAUUGUCCUUGGUGUUAGUAUUUUGGUGUUUUCUUGGUAUUUUCUCCCAUUGCUCCAGGAUGGAUCAAAGCUAGGUUAGGGUCAGGAAGUCCUGAAGUUCCAACAAAGGAAUGGCAUUUGAGGCGUUUGACUCAAGUUCAGGUCAGUAUGGUAUAGAACUGGCUUUUAUGAAAGGGUGGGUCACAACGAUAUUUCUAAGAACAGAUUUACCAUGAAAGCUAGGGAAGGAACAAGGAUCCAUGGAGCUGAUGUAUCUACUUUUCUCACACCGAGAUGGCACUGUGACGAGUAUCAGUGGAUGCUAGGACCUGUCAUUGCAUCACAGACCUUCAAGUCUGAAGAGAUCUCAAGAGUUCAGGCAAAAAAAUAUUUGGAAGGAGCAUCAGGAUCGUGUCACUUACACAGACCUGGACAUGAAGUCUCCAGCUUUUUUCAUUCCAAUCCUCAAAAGAGAAGGGGCUGAACUAGUGAUGGUAUGUGAAUGUGAUGGAAUCUCCUGUGAUGUAAGAAAUGAUAAUGGGGAUGGUUUCAGAGAAAACUGGGAGAGCUCUGUGAACUGAUACAGAGUGAAGCAAGCAGAACCAGGAGAACAAUGUAUACAAUAACAAAAUCUUGGUAAAAACAGACCUCUUCGGGACUCUGAUCAGCAUAAUGACAAGGAUUCUAGGGGACUCAUAAGGAGACAGCUGUCUUCUUCUUGAUGGGGAGGUGAAGGGUGCACAGAUACAUAUGUGUGUAUCUGAACAUAGCCUAUGCUAAAAUCUAUUUUGCUUGACUCUACAUGUUUCUAACAGGAGUUUUGUUUUUCUUUCGUUCUCAGUUGGGGGUGAGGAGCAGAAUUUUGCUGAUUGAAAGAAUAAAAUUUACUUUAAAAAAGAGAAAGCUAAGGGG
rnacentral:lncRNA from 1 species